rnacentral:rRNA from 1 species
GGCAGGCUUACACAUGCAGUCGAGCGGAAACGAUGAUAGCUUGCUAUCAGGCGUCGAGCGGCGGACGGGUGAGUAAUACUUAGGAAUCUACCUAGUAGUGGGGGAUAGCACGGGGAAACUCGUAUUAAUACCGCAUACGUCCUACGGGAGAAAGGGGGCAACUUGUUGCUCUCGCUAUUAGAUGAGCCUAAGUCGGAUUAGCUAGAUGGUGGGGUAAAGGCCUACCAUGGCGACGAUCUGUAGCUGGUCUGAGAGGAUGAUCAGCCACACCGGGACUGAGACACGGCCCGGACUCCUACGGGAGGCAGCAGUGGGGAAUAUCGGACAAUGGGGGAAACCCUGAUCCAGCCAUGCCGCGUGUGUGAAGAAGGCCUUUUGGUUGUAAAGCACUUUAAGCAGUGAAGAAGACUCUUCGGUUAAUACCCGGAGACGAUGACAUUAGCUGCAGAAUAAGCACCGGCUAACUCUGUGCCAGCAGCCGCGGUAAUACAGAGGGUGCAAGCGUUAAUCGGAAUUACUGGGCGUAAAGCGAGCGUAGGUGGCUUGAUAAGUCAGAUGUGAAAUCCCCGGGCUUAACCUGGGAACUGCAUCUGAA